rnacentral:rRNA from 1 species
ACGGGCGAGUGAUGGGGAAGCCCAGCGCUGAUCCGUCGGCCUCUGGCCGUUCGGACCUGYAGNGUAUAGUCGYAGCCGUCCGUCGCCGGCGAUCACCCUAAGUUCUCUUGACUGAGACUAUUGUCCAAAGAAGGUGCCAGGCCUGUGAGGGUGACGUUGGUGGCGGUAGGUUGCGACUUGGAGUCGGAUUGCCUGAGAUCGCAGUCCAAAGAGGGUGGUAAACCUCAUCUAAGGCUAAAUACGGCCACGAGACCGAUAGCAAACAAGUACCGUGAGGGAAAGUUGCAAAGAACUUUGAAGAGAGAGUUCAAGAGGGCGUGAAACCGCUUAGAAGGAAACGGAUAGAGCUGACGAAACUCGAGGGCAUUCAUCUGGUCGUUGCCGUCUCGCGAUGGAGGGCGGGCGAUCUUCGGACGCUCGCUCUUCCCGUGGCGGUAGCGACCGGUGCAUUUGCCUUCGGUAUGCGCUGAGAGCGCCGCCGUCGUGUUCCGACCGGUCGGAUAGCGGCCCCGGACUUCGGUCCAGGUGUCCUGCCCGACCGUUAGGCUCAUCUUCGGUGGCGUUGCUCCGUAGCAAUGGCGUCCCGCCUUCGGACCAGGAGGUGCGGCGGGCUAGUGUCGUCGGGGGCGGUCGCUUGCGACCUGUCUUCGGCGGCGCUGGUUCGUCGCGCCGCWCUGUGCCAGGACGUCGUCUCGGCGUGAAAGUCGGCCACCUAUCCGACCCGUCUUGAAACACGGACCAAGGAGUCUAACAUGUGCGCGAGUCAUUGGGUGUCAAACCUAAAGGCGGAAUGAAAGUGAAGAUCGGCUCGACCGGUUGAUAUGGGAUCCGUUCGGUCACGGCCGAGCGGCGCACCAUAGCCCCGUCUCGACUGCUUGCAGUGGGGCGGAGGCAGAGCGUACACGUUGGGACCCGAAAGAUGRUGAACUAUGCCUGAGCAGGACGAAGCCAGAGGAAWCRCURRUGGAGGUCCGAAGCGGUUCUGACGUGCAAAUCGAUCGUCAGACUUGGGUAUAGGGCGAAAG